GACGAACGCUGGCGGCGUGCUUAACACAUGCAAGUCGAACGAGAGGCGAACGGGGGAGUAAUACGUGGGUAACCUGCCCUCUUUUUGGGAUAAGCCUCGGAAAAGGGGGGUAAUACCGAAUAUAGGGGGGUGGGCUCGCGGGCUAUCAGCUUGUUGGUGGGGUGAUGGCCUAUCAAGGCGGUGACGGGUAGACGGCCUGAGAGGGUGGCCGGCCACACUGGGACUGAGAUACGGCCCAGACUCCUACGGGAGGCAGCAGUGUGGGAUAUUGCACAAUGGGCGAAAGCCUGAUGCAGCGACGCCGCGUGGGGGAUUAAGGCUUUCGGGUUGUAAACCUCUUUCGCUAUCGAAAGGGUAGGUGGAGAAGAAGCGCCGGCUAACUACGUGCCAGCAGCCGCGGUAAUUC
rnacentral:rRNA from 1 species